UACAUUCAAUAUUGAAAUCACUAACGUGGCUGCAGUAGUCUGACUAAUCUAUACAAUUUCAACAUCUGUUUAAAGCUUAAAAAAUGUUUAAAAUUUUUAAAAAAUUUGUAAUAUAUCUCUUACUUUUACCACACACUUUUCCACAACCAAUUGACCCAAAGGACAGUAGUAAGGAAACCACACUUGAUGUUGAACAAGUGAUGCAAAAAGAGAUGGUAAUUUUUGCCAAAUACUUGGAUAAGAUCCCAGAUGAUGUAGAUAGAGCUGACUUUAGGGGUGACUUGAGAAUGUUAGCUCGGCGAGCAGUCAUGGCUGAAAUGAAAAAUGAACAACUCCUUGAAGAUCGCGGAGGUUUGAAAUCUCAGAAGAAAAACUAUGAAAAAGUGUUGAGAAUCAUAGGUGCCCGAACUAAACUAGAAGGAUUGGUGGAUAAGCUGUAUCCAUUACGCAAAAACACUAAAACAGGAGAAAUGAUAUAUGGUAAACCAGAUUCAAGUUACUGUGAUGCAUUGAAUGAAAUGCUGCAGUCAAAGGAUGAACGAUUUACUCAAGAUCCAUUCAUUUCCAUGUUACGUAAACGGCUAAUUGAUAAUGGGAUAACAGUGCCCAUCUUCAUGAAAUUUAGUCGCUGGUUAUAUAAUCAGUUUAGUGAUAAAGCAUGCCAUAAAAUGGCACAGUUUUCACCACCUUUGCCUCGCUAUAAUGAUACAAAUGCAAUAAAUGAAAUGCUCGAAUGCGUUGAAAUAGAUGCAGAUAUACCAGCCGCCAUAUGUUUAAAAAUCAUGUUACAACCAUUGGAUUUACCUACAACUACCUAAUUCCUAUUUUGUCACUAAAAAUUACAGAUAAUGUUUUUUUAUAAAUAAAAAUGUUUUUGAUAUAAAAUGUAACUAAUAAUAGAUAAGUUUUUAAAAAUGUGUUAAAAAUUUUAGUAGCUUCAGUGAAAUUGGUUUCUGAUCAUUCAACAACUACUCCUAAAUCUGAAUGAAUGUAUGACUUUCUUUUCUGCUUGAAAAUUUUUUGGUAGUUAGUAAUUAUUAGUAAUUUUUUUUUAUUGUAGGAAUAGUUGAAUGUAACUUCAUAUUAUUGAUUUAGGCUUACAUAGUAUAAAAAUGGAAAAUUAUUAUCCAAGUCUCUCAUUAAUUGCUAACAUCAUCAAUUUUAUGAAUUUAAGGAGAAAUUAUUAUUAAAAAACCAUCGUUGUGAGUGUUAAAGUAAAUUAAAUUUUAAUUCAUAAAAAUAUGAGUGAGCAAUACUUAGUAAUAAUAUUUGAAACAGAGAAGUUGAAUCUUCAUUAAAUGUUUUAUAAAAAUCUGGUUUGGUCAAAAAAUUGAUCAAAAUUAUAAAAAUGAUUGAUGUUGAACUAGUGUUGAGUCCGGGUUGAAAUUUUCAAAUCUGAGUUGGAAAAAAUUGAUUAAAAUUAUCAACAAUAUUGGUAAGUAGGUAUUGAAAUACAUUAGUGUUGAUUUU